rnacentral:rRNA from 1 species
UAACACAUGCAAGUCGAACGAGAGAUGAGGAGCUUGCUCUUCAAAUCGAGUGGCGAACGGGUGAGUAACGCGUGAGGAACCUGCCUCAAAGAGGGGGGCAACAGUUGGAAACGACCGCUAAUACCGCAUAAGCCCACGGCUCGGCAUCGAGCAGAGGGAAAAGGAGCAAUCCGCUUUGAGAUGGCCUCGCGUCCGAUUAGCUAGUUGGUGAGGUAACGGCCCACCAAGGCGACGAUCGGUAGCCGGACUGAGAGGUUGAACGGCCACAUUGGGACUGAGACACGGCCCAGACUCCUACGGGAGGCAGCAGUGGGGAAUAUUGCACAAUGGGGGAAACCCUGAUGCAGCGACGCCGCGUGGAGGAAGAAGGUCUUCGGAUUGUAAACUCCUGUUGUUGAGGAAGAUAAUGACGGUACUCAACAAGGAAGUGACGGCUAACUACGUGCCAGCAGCCGCGGUAAAACGUAGGUCACAAGCGUUGUCCGGAAUUACUGGGUGUAAAGGGAGCGCAGGCGGGAGAACAAGUUGGAAGUGAAAUCCAUGGGCUCAACCCAUGAACUGCUUUCAAAACUGUUUUUCUUGAGUAGUGCAGAGGUAGGCGGAAUUCCCGGUGUAGCGGUGGAAUGCGUAGAUAUCGGGAGGAACACCAGUGGCGAAGGCGGCCUACUGGGCACCAACUGACGCUGAGGCUCGAAAGUGUGGGUAGCAAACAGGAUUAGAUACCCUGGUAGUCCACACCGUAAACGAUGAUUACUAGGUGUUGGAGGAUUGACCCCUUCAGUGCCGCAGUUAACACAAUAAGUAAUCCACCUGGGGAGUACGACCGCAAGGUUGCAACUCAAAGGAAUUGA